AGAGUUUGAUCAUGGCUCAGAUUGAACGCUGGCGGCAGGCCUAACACAUGCAAGUCGAACGGUAGCACAGAGAGCUUGCUCUCGGGUGACGAGUGGCGGACGGGUGAGUAAUGUCUGGGAAACUGCCUGAUGGAGGGGGAUAACUACUGGAAACGGUAGCUAAUACCGCAUAACGUCGCAAGACCAAAGAGGGGGACCUUCGGGCCUCUUGCCAUCAGAUGUGCCCAGAUGGGAUUAGCUAGUAGGUGGGGUAACGGCUCACCUAGGCGACGAUCCCUAGCUGGUCUGAGAGGAUGACCAGCCACACUGGAACUGAGACACGGUCCAGACUCCUACGGGAGGCAGCAGUGGGGAAUAUUGCACAAUGGGCGCAAGCCUGAUGCAGCCAUGCCGCGUGUAUGAAGAAGGCCUUCGGGUUGUAAAGUACUUUCAGCGGGGAGGAAGGUGUUGCGGUUAAUAACCGCAGCAAUUGACGUUACCCGCAGAAGAAGCACCGGCUAACUCCGUGCCAGCAGCCGCGGUAAUACGGAGGGUGCAAGCGUUAAUCGGAAUUACUGGGCGUAAAGCGCACGCAGGCGGUCUGUCAAGUCGGAUGUGAAAUCCCCGGGCUCAACCUGGGAACUGCAUUCGAAACUGGCAGGCUAGAGUCUUGUAGAGGGGGGUAGAAUUCCAGGUGUAGCGGUGAAAUGCGUAGAGAUCUGGAGGAAUACCGGUGGCGAAGGCGGCCCCCUGGACAAAGACUGACGCUCAGGUGCGAAAGCGUGGGGAGCAAACAGGAUUAGAUACCCUGGUAGUCCACGCCGUAAACGAUGUCGACUUGGAGGUUGUGCCCUUGAGGCGUGGCUUCCGGAGCUAACGCGUUAAGUCGACCGCCUGGGGAGUACGGCCGCAAGGUUAAAACUCAAAUGAAUUGACGGGGGCCCGCACAAGCGGUGGAGCAUGUGGUUUAAUUCGAUGCAACGCGAAGAACCUUACCUACUCUUGACAUCCAGAGAACUUUCCAGAGAUGGAUUGGUGCCUUCGGGAACUCUGAGACAGGUGCUGCAUGGCUGUCGUCAGCUCGUGUUGUGAAAUGUUGGGUUAAGUCCCGCAACGAGCGCAACCCUUAUCCUUUGUUGCCAGCGGUCCGGCCGGGAACUCAAAGGAGACUGCCAGUGAUAAACUGGAGGAAGGUGGGGAUGACGUCAAGUCAUCAUGGCCCUUACGAGUAGGGCUACACACGUGCUACAAUGGCGCAUACAAAGAGAAGCGAACUCGCGAGAGCAAGCGGACCUCAUAAAGUGCGUCGUAGUCCGGAUUGGAGUCUGCAACUCGACUCCAUGAAGUCGGAAUCGCUAGUAAUCGUAGAUCAGAAUGCUACGGUGAAUACGUUCCCGGGCCUUGUACACACCGCCCGUCACACCAUGGGAGUGGGUUGCAAAAGAAGUAGGUAGCUUAACCUUCGGGAGGGCGCUUACCACUUUGUGAUUCAUGACUGGGGUGAAGUCGUAACAAGGUAACCGUAGGGGAACCUGCGGUUGGAUCACCU
rnacentral:rRNA from 1 species